rnacentral:rRNA from 1 species
UACAGAGGGUGCAAGCGUUGUUCGGAAUUACUGGGCGUAAAGGGCGUGUAGGCGGUUUAGCAAGUCAGAUGUGAAAUCCCGGGGCUUAACUCCGGAAGUGCAUUUGAAACUGCUAGGCUAGAGUGCAGUAGAGGAUGGCGGAAUACCCAGUGGAGAGGUGAAAUUCGUAGAUAUUGGGUGGAACACCGGUGGCGAAGGCGGCCAUCGUGGGCUGGUAACUGACGCUGAGGCGCGAGAGCGUGGGGAGCAAACGAG